rnacentral:rRNA from 1 species
UACGCAGGGGGCGAGCGUUGUUCGGAUUUCCUGGGCGUAAAGGGCGCGCAGGCGGCUCAUUUUGUCAGGCGUGAAAGCCCCGGGCUUAACCUGGGAACUGCGUUUGAUACGGAUGGGCUAGAGUUCGGGAGAGGAGAGUGGAAUUCCCAGUGUAGAGGUGAAAUUCGUAGAUAUUGGGAAGAACACCGGUGGCGAAGGCGGCUCUCUGGACCGAGACUGACGCUGAGGCGCGAAAGCGUGGGGAGCAAACAGG